rnacentral:hammerhead_ribozyme from 1 species
UUAGGCUGUUGCCUACAGUUGAUGAGCUCCAAGAACAGUGAAACCCAUUAGGUCCUAUGGUACUGUCCUAACAAGCA